ACUCAUGGUGCCAGAUAUUUUGCA
rnacentral:siRNA from 1 species